rnacentral:sRNA from 2 species
AUGUACCUCGCGUACAACGCGGUUCCUAUGCGCCGUCCACGCCCACCUGACGACUGCUCGCCAGGGUUUGGCUAGCG